AACGAACGCUGGCGGCAUGCCCAACACAUGCAAGUCGAACGAGACCUUCGGGUCUAGUGGCGCACGGGUGCGUAACGCGUGGGAACCUGCCCUUAGGUUCGGAAUAACUCCCGGUAAGGGGUGCUAAUACCGGAUAAUGUCUUCGGACCAAAGAUUUAUCGCCUUUGGAUGGGCCCGCGUUGGAUUAGCUAGUUGGUAGGGUAAAAGCCUACCAAGGCGACGAUCCAUAGCUGGUCUGAGAGGAUGAUCAGCCACACUGGGACUGAGACACGGCCCAGACUCCUACGGGAGGCAGCAGUGGGGAAUAUUGGACAAUGGGCGAAAGCCUGAUCCAGCAAUGCCGCGUGAGUGAUGAAGGCCUUAGGGUUGUAAAGCUCUUUUACCCGGGAUGAUAAUGACAGUACCGGGAGAAUAAGCACCGGCUAACUCCGUG
rnacentral:rRNA from 1 species